UUCAUUCUCUCUUUUCGGCCGCAAGAAGAAGAAAAAGAAGAGGACGAAGAGAUAAGAGCAGUAGAUGGUGGUGAAGCAAAAGAUAUUGGUGCACAGAUCGCACCUAUCGUUAAACUUGAAGAAGUUUACAACUGAAAAGAGAAACUAUACCGAUUUGAUAAAGAUGAAAAUCAAUAGAAAGAGGAGUUGAAACUUUGAAGAUUCUUAAACAUAAACAGACUGAGAAAGUUGGAUUGGUUAUGAGACAAUCUAAGCCAUUCAAGAUCUGUGCUAAUCAUCUAGAUUUUUCGCAAUAGGGUUAUCAUUCAAGUUCAGAAGAAGAAGGAAAGGAUUGUGUGAAAUCUGAACCCUAAAUUCCCAAUUUUAGGGUUCUUUUUUUGUAUGAAGCUCCAAAUGAUUAGAUCUUGAUAUCUUCAUCUGAUGGUGUUUAACAGAGAUUUUGGUUUUGGAACGGAUGUGAAGCUUCCACUAGUAAUGGAGGGAUCGAUUAUGAUCAAAUUACUGCCGAAGUGGAACAAAGGCUAUGAGGAGUUCGCAAAAUUUAGCAUUUGGGUCGGGGUAUCUUCCACUAAAGUUGUUUUUUGAUUACAUACUUACAUUUUGCGGGAGAUUUAAGCAGACAGUUUAGAUAGACUAGUCCUUGGUGUUAUAACUUUAUUGUUGACAAUGCAUGGUGUCUUUGAUGUUGUGUUCUUUUACUGCCUCAGAUGCAUUAACCAUGGAAUUGUUGUUGCUAGGAUGGAUGCUAAACCUUAAGUUGAUUAAAUUACUUUCUUAUGUUUGGGUGAAUCCAGAUCCUGGUUUGAAAACCAGGGAAUGCAGGUGAUGCUCCAGAGUGCGAUAAGUUCGCUAAGUAGUACUGCGAUUUUGCCCCGGAGAAUGGGUAUGUACUGCUAAGAUUUUAUAAUCUCAUUUUUCUUCUCCUUCUUUUGAGCUGAUGGGAUUUUGGGGAUUGUUGAAGAAGGAUUCCAGGCAUAGAUGAAUGUUAUGACAUGGAUGCAGCUGUAAUUUAUUGGUGGUGGUUUUGAGCUUACCUAAAUCAUAAAUUGUGUGAAUGUUUUGCUUCUUAUAGCCUGCAGCAUAAUUCAAUGAAGGAUAAAUAUCAUAAAUCCGUAUGGUCAGGAACUUACCUAGGCUAUAAGUAGGUGUUCUUAUGUAUGUAGGCUGAACUGAAUCAUUAUGAAGUUUAGGUAUACUAAAUUAAGAUCACUUGUUUGGCCUUUAUAAAUUACUAAUUGCAGUAAUAAAAUGAUUUUUCUGGCACUUUGAUGUGUAUGUCUGUUUGAAAUUAUAACAUUACUAGGUAUCGUGCAAUGCGGUGAUGCCAUCCUCUAUUUUGUCGAGUCACCUGCACUUGCGUCCCCUGGGGUUGGCAGGGUAGGAAAAUACAAUCUUCCACUUUGUUUGUUUUUUCCCUUCCCUUGAACUUUGUCUGGCUGGUCUUUUUAUCUCUUAUUUCGUUAUAGUUUCUGAAGGUACUCUUUAUCAUGGUUUGCAUUUUACUAAAGAUUUCACUACUGUGAAGGGAUAUAGUUAUGUUGAUUGAUUGGGUUGAUAACCAACUCUAGCAGGUAGGUGACUUUUUGGUCUGUAGAGGUGUAUCUAUGCAGCUUAGGCAAAUAAAGCCUGCACUUUCUUCAUUGCAUUCUGUAUAAUUUAAAGAUGGUCUAAAAUCCUUAUUGUUGUCUGAAGGAUUGAUUAUAAUAAAAUUACUGCCGAAGUGGAACAAAGGCUAUGAGGAUUUUGCACUAUAUGGCCCUGUGCGUCAAGGUAUCUCCAACAAUCCAUGUGAAAUAUGAAGAUGUUAUUUGUCUCUUGUUCUAAAGGGAUACUGCUCUUUGUAAACCAAUGAAUUCAUCUACAACUUGAACUCGCUGCGUCUUUUUUUGAUGUUACUGUCAGUUCAGAAUUGAUUCGAACCUUGAAGGGAAUGGAGGUUUUUGCAACCAUUUCAUCUUCUUCAACUAACAAAGAAACUACUUCUGUUGGAGUCACCCUUCAGCUCGUAUCACCUCCGGCACCUCAGAUAGGGAUGCUAUUGAAGCUGCUUCAAGUUUUGAAAAUAGGAACCAUCUCCCAGAACGUUUACUAGAUCAGAUGCUUUCCCAUCUGUGUUUGAAGUUCAGAACUGACUCCAAAGGGUUGCAUCAGCAAGAGUCUCGUGAAUCCCUCCCUAAAUCCAUCCAUUCGAGCAUUUCACAUUUUCUCUUCUAUAAUCUCGUUAAUAAGGCGUACUUGUUCCGCAGGACCUUCUUUCCAGUUAGCUCUAACUGAAGGCUAAUGUCACCACAAACGAAACAACCUCAGAAACACAAUCCAGAAAUCUUCGUGAAUGAAGAGAUGGGAUGGAAGAACUUCAAUUUGAUUGGAGCAGCAUAGGCAGGUACUUCAUGUAUUUGUAUUUCAGCUACUUUUUUUUGCCUCAGAGACAUUUACCAAUGUAGAGUUCAUCUUCCUUCAAAACAUUUUAUAAGAUUCUCUCUUUUUUUUGAAAGCAUUGUAAGAUUCUCAUGAUGUGAUGUU